rnacentral:lncRNA from 1 species
AUGGCCAAGUUUCCUGUGAACCCCUUUCUCCUGCUCAGGUUGGUAUAGAUAUAUGUAUAUUAUUUUGUUUCUUUCGCACAAGUGUGUCUUUGUAUGAGUUUUAAUUUAAUCACCAUAUAAUUAUCUCAAGCGUACUAAUUAAUUUCCCAUCUGUUGGACUGUUUCUACUUAAACAUUCUUGAACCUUGAUGGUAAGAAAUUAAUGAUGAUGCAAAUACAAUUAGGUUAUAAUAUCUGAUGUUUUUAAUUAAUUAGGGGUUUAUUUGUUUGAUUGAAGUAGGCGAUCAUAUAAGGUUGCAAGAUCAGUGCAAAAGCCAGCGACGACAAUGAGGAGGACUGCGACAACUGAAUCGGGCAGUAGUGUUAAUGAUAAUGUAGCAAAUAAUCAUGAUAGUCCGCAGAUGAAUCAAGUGUUUUGGAUGAGAGACCCGAAGACAGGGAACUGGAUUCCAGAGAGCCACUUUGAGGAGCUUGAUGUUGCAGAGCUGAGGGAGAAGCUCCUCCCCAACCUCAACAAGCAGCACAAACUUUAA